CUCUACUGCUGAGCCACCAGGGAAGCCCGUCCUGUUUAAUAAGUCCAAAAAUUUAAAUAAAUUGCUUUCCUGAAGUUCUGUGAGUCAUUCUAGCACAUUAUCAAACCUGUUGUAGGAAUUCCCUGAAUUUAUAGCCCAUCAGUCAGAAGUACAGGUGACACGUGGGGCUCAUGACUGGUAUUUGAAGUAGGGUAGUCUUAGCCUUUGUCUUAGUCUGAGCCCUUACCCUGUGGAAUCUAUGCUAACUCUAAUCGUGUGUGGGCUCAGUUGCUGUCAUGUCCAGCUCUUUGUAACUCCAUGGACUGUCGCCCACCAGGCUCCUCUGGUGGGAGACAGUCCCCACCAGACCCAGGGAUUGAACUCCUGUCUCUUGCAUCUCCUGCACUGACAGAUUCUUUACCACUGCACCACCUGGGAAACCCAACUCUGGGUAGUUAGUGUUAGACUGAACUGGACUGUAGGACCCUCCACUCGUGUCCAGAGAAUUAGAGAACUGGUUGCUGGUGUUAGAAAACAUCACAGAGUAAGUAUAUGUACAGGUAAAUUACAAGCAUCAUUACAAUUCUCCCCUAAAUAUUUUGGCCUGUCUCACCUACAUAUUUUGGCCUGUCUCACCUAAAAAUAACAUGCACCAACAGACGCGCCCAAUGUAGCAUUUUCACACUUAGCAAAAAUUAACAAUUUCCUAAUGUCAUCUAACAUGCAGUCCAUAUUCAGAUUUUUCCAAAUGUCCCUUAAAUGUCUUUUAUGGCUGUUUCUAUUUUCCAUAUCAAGAUUCAAGGAGAAUCACAAAUUCCAUCUGGUUUUGAUGUCUCUUUACUUUCCUCUUUUCUAAAAGAUCCCUACCCUUUCAUCAAUGACAUUGGGAAGCGUCCAGGCCAAUUAUCUUGUAGAACGUCCCACAUUCUGGAUUUCUGUGAUUGUUUCCUCAGGCAGGGGUGUGCUAUGUAACUUUUCUAGGCUUAUAUCCCCAUCUGUGAAAUGGGUAUCCUCACAGUAGCUGCCGCCGGUUACUCCACACGGUAGAUGCGAGGAUUAAAUGCAGAAAUGCUUGGCAAGUGCUCGGUCUGGUAUUUGGCACAAAGUAAAUGGUGCUAUUGACAUUGCCAUCAGCAUCCUCCGCAUCACCAGCACGGUGCUCAGCACCCCAGGUUCCAAGCCGCAGUGACACGUGAACUCGCCCGAUCCUUUCCUCACCCUUCCGGGAUCUCAGGCUCAUUUUGCUCUGUUCCUUCUGUCCUGCAGAGCUUAAUUGAUUAAAUGCAUCUCUCACUAGCCCCUCCAAGAACGGGUGGUUAACCUCUACCCGUCCUCCUAAGGACACGCUCUUUGUUCAGAAUCACAGUUGCAUUACCCCAGAAUGGCUCAGACGAUCGUGAGGCAUUGACCGGUGCGGUGCCCACCCAAGAAGGAAGUUUUCCCCUUGAACUUGACCCCUUUUUAUUGGCCAAACGAAUGUGGUUUUGAAGGGAACUUUAUAGCGCUAUGAAAAUGUAAAACUAGCAUCACUUGCCACGAAAGAAAUGAUAAAAGUGAUGGAAACAAUUCAGGGCUGUUGAAUUCUAACCUCUUCCUAUUGAAAGUUUUCAGACUGGGGCUCACCAUCUGUUCGGGCUGGCAGGUAUUAGGUGUUAAAGACAAAUGAGCACCAGAGUGAAACUGCCUUGUAAAGUACUGAAAACCACUGGGGGGGAAUGACUUUCUCACUACACAGUCCAGGAACCUCUUUUGCUCCACGUGUGUCCCCCCGAAACCACUGCUGACCAUAAUGAAGAAUAAAGAAUUACCUCAUCUUCAAGGCAGAGGAGGUGGGCAAGCGAUAGGCCCUAGAGUAGACUGAAUUUCAGGUGCCCUUCUAAUUGAUUCCCUGGUGGCUCAGACAGUAAAGCGUCUGCCCGCAAUGUGGGAGACCCGGGUUCGAUUCCUGGGUCGGGAAGAUCCCCCUGGAGAAGGAAAUGGUGAUCCACUGCAGCACUCUUGCCUGGAAAAUCUCAUGAACAGAGGAGCCUGAUAGGCUACAGUCCAUAGGGUCGAAAAGAGUCGGAUACGACUGAACGACUUCACUUCUAAUUGUUCAGGACACCAACAAGUGGACAACCCAGCGGAAGGAAUGAUGAGAACACUGAAGCUUAACGAGGCUAAGUCACUUGCCCAAAUGUGGAGGACUGCAAAAAUGACCACAACUCUCCAUCCACCGCUGUGUUUGUCACAUUGCUGUCACCUGGCAAAGGGACUCUGCAGCUCUCCCCACCAAGAGUGGAAUUUGUUCUCCCACCCACUGGCCUCGUGGUCAACUUGAACCAGAAGAAUGUGGGGGAGGGAUGAUG
ensembl:lncRNA